AAACUAACAAGGAUUCCCCUAGUAACGGCGAGUGAAGCGGGAUGAGCUCAAAUUUGUAAUCUGGUGGACUCAGUUCAUCCGAGUUGUAAUCUAUAGAAAAGUUUUCCGCGCCGGACCGUGUCUAAGUCCCUUGGAACAGGGUGUCAGAGAGGGUGAGAAUCCCGUGCUUGAUACGACCACCGGUGCUAUGUGAUACUUUUUCAACGAGUCGAGUUGUUUGGGAAUGCAGCUCAAAAUGGGUGGUAAAUUCCAUCUAAAGCUAAAUAUUGGCGAGAGACCGAUAGCGAACAAGUACCGUGAGGGAAAGAUGAAAAGCACUUUGGAAAGAGAGUUAAACAGUACGUGAAAUUGUUAAAAGGGAAACGAUUGAAGUCAGUCGUGCUCUCUGGGACUCAGCCGGUUCUUCCGGUGUAUUUCCCAGUGAGCGGGUCAACAUCAGUUUAGAUCGCUGGAUAAGGUCAUUAGGAAUGUGGCUCCCUCGGGAGUGUUAUAGCCUAGUGUCGCAUACAGUGGUUUAGACUGAGGAACGCAGCUCGCCUUUAUGGCCGGGGUUCGCCCACGUCCGAGCUAGGAUGUUACAAA
rnacentral:rRNA from 1 species